GAUGAACGCUAGCUACAGGCUUAACACAUGCAAGUCGAGGGGCAGCAUGGUCUUAGCUUGCUAAGGCCGAUGGCGACCGGCGCACGGGUGAGUAACACGUAUCCAACCUGCCGUCUACUCUUGGACAGCCUUCUGAAAGGAAGAUUAAUACAAGAUGGCAUCAUGAGUCCGCAUGUUCACAUGAUUAAAGGUAUUCCGGUAGACGAUGGGGAUGCGUUCCAUUAGAUAGUAGGCGGGGUAACGGCCCACCUAGUCUUCGAUGGAUAGGGGUUCUGAGAGGAAGGUCCCCCACAUUGGAACUGAGACACGGUCCAAACUCCUACGGGAGGCAGCAGUGAGGAAUAUUGGUCAAUGGACGAGAGUCUGAACCAGCCAAGUAGCGUGAAGGAUGAAGGUUCUAUGGAUUGUAAACUGCUUUUAUAAGGGAAUAAAGUGAGUCUCGUAGAGUACUUUUUGCAUGUACCUUA
rnacentral:rRNA from 1 species